rnacentral:rRNA from 1 species
ACUUCGGUCCUUGCUGCACCCUUGUCUUUUGCGUACCGUAUGUUUCCUCGGCGGGCUUGCCUGCCGGUUGGACAUUAUCAAACCUUUUUGUAGUUGCAAUCAGCGUCAGAAAACAAACAAUAAUUACAACUUUCAACAACGGAUCUCUUGGUUCUGGCAUCGAUGAAGAACGCAGCGAAAUGCGAAAAGUAGUGUGAAUUGCAGAAUUCAGUGAAUCAUCGAAUCUUUGAACGCACAUUGCGCCCCUUGGUAUUCCAUGGGGCAUGCCUGUUCGAGCGUCAUUUUGUACCCUCAAGCACUGCUUGGUGUUGGGCGUUUGUCCUGCAAAGGACUCGCCUGAAAGCGAUUGGCGGCCAACGUACUGGUGGUAGAGCGCAGCACAAUUUGCGUCUCUCCCCUCUGCGUCGGCGUCCAUGAAGCCUUUUUUCAACGUUUGACCUCGGAUCAGGUAGGGAUACCCGCUGAACUUAAGCAUAUCAAUAAGCGGAGGAAAA